rnacentral:rRNA from 1 species
AUACGUAGGUGGCAAGCGUUGUCCGGAUUUACCGGGCGUAAAGGGAGCGUAGGUGGAUAUUUAAGUGGGAUGUGAAAUACCCGGGCCUAACCUGGGUGCUGCAUUCCAAACUGGAUAUCUAGAGUGCAGGAGAGGAAGGGAGAAUUCCUAGUGUAGCGGUGAAAUGCGUAGAGAUUAGGAAGAAUACCAGUGGCGAAGGCGCCUUUCCGGACUGUAACUGACACUGAGGCUCGAAAGCGUGGGGAGC